GACUGGGUAGCUCAGUAGGUAAGAGCACUCGUUCUGUUAGCGAGGGGUCCCGGGUUCGAUUCCUGGUCUGGUUG
rfam:Lingula anatina scaffold18, whole genome shotgun sequence.